rnacentral:rRNA from 2 species
GAAAUUCCAAUCGAACCUGGAGAUAGCUGGUUCUCUCCGAAAUAGCUUUAGGGCUAGCCUCAAGGCAAGAGUACCGGAGGUAGAGCACUGUUUGGACUAGGGGCCCUCAUCGGGUUACCGAAUUCAGACAAACUCCGAAUGCCGGAUACUCAUCCUUGGGAGUCAGACUGCGAGUGAUAAGAUCCGUAGUCGAGAGGGAAACAACCCAGACCGCCAGCUAAGGUCCCCAAGUAUACGUUAAGUGGAAAAGGAUGUGGAGUUGCUUAGACAACCAGGAUGUUGGCUUAGAAGCAGCCACCAUUCAAAGAGUGCGUAAUAGCUCACUGGUCGAGUGACUCUGCGCCGAAAAUGUACCGGGGCUAAACGUAUCACCGAAGCUGCGGAUUG